UGAUAAAAUCAUAAUCUACGACAUAAUAAUAACAAUACAUUCAUCAUUAAUAUCGGGUACAAUUUUUUUUUCUACUGUUCACUUGAACGUUUUUUAGCACUGACCGUUUCAUUCGGAUAGUAAUGCAUCACCGUUCUCCUAUUAAUUCAUGACAUUUAUGCGGAAUACCAUUCAAAUUCAAAUGACUCAUUGGGUAUGGCCAAAAUCACUAGGAAAUGGGAAAUGUUCCCAGGUCGAAAUCGAUUCUGCUGUGACGGCCGGCUCAUGAUGGCACCGCACGCGGCAGUGUUUUACAUUAAUGUGGUCCUGAUCAUUGGCACGAGUUUGUUGUUCUUUGUCUUUGACUGCCCAUACCUUAGCCGCCGUGUGACUCCUGUUAUUCCGAUCAUAUCGGGUGUGUUGUUCCUUUUUGUUAUUGGUUCAUUAUUCAAGACCAGUUUCACAGACCCUGGUAUAAUUCCUAGAGCAACUGCUGAUGAAGCCGCUUACAUAGAGAAACAAGUUUAUAUAAGUAUACCUAAUAAUGGAGGAACACCUACUAUACGACCACCACCUAGGACCAAAGAGGUAGUUAUUAAAGGUCAUUCAAUCAAAUUGAAAUACUGCGUAACAUGCAAGAUUUUCAGACCGCCUAGAGCUUCUCACUGUAGCUUGUGCAAUAAUUGUGUUGAAAAUUUUGAUCACCACUGUCCAUGGGUAGGAAAUUGUGUUGGUCGUCGGAACUACAGGUUUUUCUAUAUGUUUAUUAUUUGUUUAUCAUUACUUAUUAUCAUCGUGUUCAUUGGAGCUAUUCUGCACUUAUUCUACUUAUCUGAAAAUAGAGUAAUGGUAGAAGCAAUAUCUGAGUCACCAACUAGUGUAAUAGUAGUAAUUAUUACUUUCUUCAGUUGUUGGAGUGUGAUUGGGUUAGCUGGAUUUCAUACGUUUCUUGCUGCAUCUAAUCAAACAACUAAUGAAGACAUUAAAGGAUCUUUUGCCAGUCGCACCGGGCGGCCAAAUUCCAAUCCUUAUAGUAGAGGUAACAUUUGUGCCAAUUAUUGUUAUGUUUUGUGUUCUCCUCGUCCUCCAAGUCUUUUAGAUAGGCGUGGUGUUGUUUUAUCAUUGAAUGAAUCUAAGUCUAUGAACAAAAGUCAAAGCAGAGAUACAGUAAUAUCUAAUAAAGGGUUUGAAGCUUCUGAUGUACCAGUUAAUCAAAAUGGAAAACCUAACACUGAUGACAUCCAAUUAAAUCAGUAUGGUUCAUCAAGUAUGUUGCAACCCGAUAGUCUUGAUUGCAAUCAACAACAUACAUUCACAACAUCAAUGCCAAGUAUUCAUCAUUCUCAAAACAAUCAUGUGCAUCAAAGUCAUAUUAUAAAUGGUUUGUAUCAAAAACCACCUACCUCUCACUCAUCAAUAAUAUUAGAAUCACAUAAUUGUCCCCCUGACUAUUUUUUAGUACCUACUAACCCAAAUUACUUUUAUGCAAGUCUACCAUUACGCAGAGACCGUGCUGCAAUGUAUUAUUCAGCUGUUUCUCGUGUACCUAGUUAUCGUUGUAGGAAUAAUCAAAAACUUUAUUAUAGUCAUUGUCGUGAACAUGGAGGUACUCCUGCCAAUAGAAUGCAUUCAGCAAAUAAAAAUAGUGUUAUAAAUAAUACUAAUUAAUUAAUAGAAAGUUCAUAAAUUAGGAAAUAGUUAUAAAAGAAAUUUGACUAAAUUAUAAUUUUUAAUAUAUUAUGUUUUAUUUCUUUUUAAAUGCCAUUCCUACCAUGUAAGUUGAUUAGGAUUUAAAUUUUAUUGAUGUGAAAUUUAACAAAAGUGUAACAUCAUUAACUAACACAUUUAAUGAUACUGGCAUUUAUGAGACUAUCGAACCUGGGCGAUUAG